CCUACGGGUGGCUGCAGUGGGGAAUUUUGGACAAUGGGCGCAAGCCUGAUCCAGCCAUUCCGCGUGAGUGAAGAAGGCCUUCGGGUUGUAAAGCUCUUUCGCAAGGGAAGAAAACUUAUCCUCUAACAUAGGAUGAGGUUGACGGUACCUUGAUAAGAAGCACCGGCUAACUACGUGCCAGCAGCCGCGGUAAUACGUAGGGUGAUAACGGGAAUCAAAGUUACCGGGCGUAGAGUGUGCGGACAGAUGUGAAAUCCCCGAGCUCAACUUGGGAACUGCGUUUGAAACUACAAGACUAGAAUAGGUCAGAGGGGGGUAGAAUUCCACGUGUAGCAGUGAAAUGCGUAGAGAUGUGGAGGAAUAUCAAUGGCGAAGGCAGCCCCCUGGGAUCAUAUUGACGCUCAUGCACGAAAGCGUGGGGAGCAAACAGGAUUAGAUACCCUUGUAGUC
rnacentral:rRNA from 1 species